AACGUAGGAGGCGAGCGUUAUCCGGAUUUACUGGGCGUAAAGCGUGUGUAGGCGGCUGGACAAGUCGGACGUGAAAGCCCCUGGCUCAACUGGGGGAGGCCGUUCGAUACUGUUCGGCUCGAGGGUGAGAGAGGGAAGCGGAAUUCCCGGUGUAGCGGUGGAAUGCGUAGAGAUCGGGAGGAACACCCGUGGCGAAAGCGGCUUCCUGGCUCACCCCUGACGCUGAGUGCACGAAAGCGUGGGGAGCAAACGGGAUUAGAUACCCCGGUAGUCCACGCCCUAAACGAUGAGAGCUAGGUGUUGGUCCCAUUUGGGAUCAGUGCCGAAGCAAACGCGUUAAGCUCUCCGCCUGGGGACUACGAACGCAAGUUUAAAACUCAAAGGAAUAGACGGGGGCCCGCACAAGCAGCGGAGCGUGUGGUUCAAUUCGAUGCGACACGAAGAACCUUACCUGGGUUUGACAUGCAUGUGGUACCGAAGGGAAACCGGAGGGACCCGCAAGGGAGCGUGCACAGGUGCUGCAUGGCUGUCGUCAGCUCGUGCCGUGAGGUGUUGGGUUAAGUCCCGCAACGAGCGCAACCCUCGUCGCUAGUUACAUGUGUCUAGCGAGACCGCCGGCUUAAUGCCGGAGGAAGGUGGGGAUGACGUCAAGUCAGCAUGGCCUUUAUAUCCAGGGCUACACACACGCUACAAUGGAUGUUACAAUGGGUUGCCAACCCGCGAGGGGGAGCUAAUCCCACAAAAGCAUCCUCAGUUCAGAUUGCAGGCUGCAACUCGCCUGCAUGAAGUCGGAGUUGCUAGUAAACGCAGGUCAGCUAUACUGCGUUGAAUACGUUCCCGGGCCU
rnacentral:rRNA from 1 species